rnacentral:rRNA from 1 species
UGGGGAAUAUUGGGGCAAUGGGGCGAAAGCCUGACCCAGCAACGCCGCGUGAGGGAAGAAGGGUUUCGGCUCGUAAACCUCUGUCCUAUGGGACGAAGGAAGUGACGGUACCAUAGGAGGAAGCCCCGGCUAACUACGUGCCAGCAGCCGCGGUAAUACGGAGGAUGCGAGCGUUAUCCGGAUUUAUUGGGUUUAAAGGGUGCGCAGGCGGCGCGCCAAGUCAGCGGUCAAAGUUCCGGGCUCAACCCGGUGUCGCCGUUGAAACUGGCGUGCUCGAGUGCGUGCGAGGAAGGCGGAAUGCGUUGUGUAGCGGUGAAAUGUAUAGAUAUGACGCAGAACUCCGAUUGCGAAGGCAGCUUUCCAGCGCGCUACUGACGCUGAGGCACGAAAGCGUGGGGAUCGAACAGGAUUAGAUACCCUGGUAGU